rnacentral:rRNA from 1 species
UACGUAGGGGCCAAGCGUUGUCCGGAUUUAUUGGGCGUAAAGAGCUCGUAGGCGGUUCGGCAAGUCAGCUGUGAAAUCUCCACGCUCAACGUGGAGGGGUCAGCUGAUACUGCUGUGACUUGAGUCCGGUGGGGGAGUGUGGAGUUCCCGGUGUAGCGGUGAAAUGCGCAGAUAUCGGGAGGAACACCGGUGGCGAAGGCGGGUCUCUGGGCCGAUACUGACGCUGAGGAGCGAAAGCGUGGGGAGCGAACAGG